CAUUCCAUAUAUUCAGAGUUUCAUUCAAUAUAUUCGGAUUUUCAUUCAAUAUAUUCGGAUUUUCAUUCCAUAUAUUCCGAGUUUCAUUCAAUAUAUUCAGAGUUUCAUUCAAUAUAUUCAGAGUUUCAUUCAAUAUAUUCCGAGUUUUUACCUACCGAGCCCCGGAAGGGACAUGUCGGUAUGGCGAAACGACAAUGGAGGACACCCACCCGUACGAGAGUUUUAUUGAGUUUUAUUUUGUAAUCAGCCUAAAAUACAAAGACAUUCAAGCAGUGCGAUGCAUGAGGAGUCUGCCAUGCAGACCAGCGAUCCUGAUCCUGUUGUCGGCCUUGGAUGAUGAGGUCCAGUUACCAGGAUAACUACUCUGCAGCUCACUGAUCCCAUCCUGCAGCUCAUCCAUGCCGUUCUCCUCUCAACAGACCAAAUCAAGAAAAAGGAAGCAGGAUGCUACUGUGGAUCUGCUGCAGUAUCUGGAGAGGUCAGAGGAACAGUUGAGGAGACACCAAGACCUGACCUCUGCCAUGCUCCAGAACAUCCAGAGACCAAGACCUGACCUCUGCCAUGCUCCAGAACAUCCAGAGACCAAGACCUGACCACUGCCAUGCUCCAGAACAUCCAGAGACCAAGACCUGACCACUGCUAUGCUCCAGAACAUCCAGAGGAUGGAUGAAAAUUCAAACACCUUGGUUGGACUGAUGGGACGUACGGUGUCAGUGCUGGAGAGACUGUCACAGAAAUAAACUGCAUUAUCCACUACUUCUGAUCUUUUUAAAAAAAAAAAAAAAAAAAACUUCUUUUUUGUAAAUUCUUUUACAUUUUAGUUAUUUAACUUCACCUGUUUUGUAUUUUAACUCUUGCACGUUGGGGGAAUAAACAGAAAUUUGUGAUGAAAGAUGCGUGUUUUGUCUAUA